AAACAAAGCAUCUCGGUGUUGCUUGUUGACUGCCGUCUGGCGUUUUCGUCGAAAGAGAGUAAGGAAUUUUUCCUCGCCUUCACUUUUUCGAUUGAAUAUCGGUGAUAGACAGUACUUGAAAGUUUGUUAAAACUUUAAAUUCUCCAUUGACAAUAUGUUGAAGGUUGGAAAUUCUAAUAUAAAGGGGGGCAAUAAUUCUUUAUUGCCUCAGGUUUUUCAAGUGAUUGUCGUUACAGCAGUUUGUGGAUCAUUCACAUGUGGACAUGUUGUGUCUUUGAUCGUGAUGUUAUGCAAUAUGACAAACGUCGUCCUUUUGCCAGCUAUUCUCACGUAUCUAGUUUGGUUUCUCGCCUACGAUUUCAAAAGGUCGUCGAAGGGCGGCCGUAGAUGGAACGCACUUCGUAAUCUGUCAAGCUGGAAUUAUUAUCGCGAUUAUUUCCCGGUACGACUUAUAAAAACUACUGAACUAAGCCCUGAAAAGAAUUAUAUCUUUGGCUAUCAUCCUCAUGGUGUCAUGUGUGCUGGAGCUUGGUGUAACUUCGCGACUGAAGCAACAGAAUUCAGUAAAUUAUUUCCAGGACUUACACCGCAUCUGUUAACCUUGAAAU